rnacentral:rRNA from 1 species
AAAUUGGGUGGCAUCACUUGAUUUUCAAAGNUGGGGACCGNAAGGCCUGGCGCUUCAUGAUGAGCCCGCGGCCUAUCAGCUAGUUGGUGAGGUAACGGCUCACCAAGGCUAAGACGGGUAGCUGGUCUGAGAGGACGACCAGCCUCACUGGAACUGAGACACGGUCCAGACACCUACGGGUGGCAGCAGUCGAGAAUUUUUCUCAAUGGGCGAAAGCCUGAAGGAGCGACGCCGCGUGGGGGAUGAAUGGCUUCGGCCCGUAAACCCCUGUCAUUUGUGACCAAACCUUCCGAUUUAAUAUGUCGGAAGCUGAUGGUAGCGGAAGAGGAAGGGACGGCUAACUCUGUGCCAGCAGCCGCNGGUAAUACAGAGGUCCCAAGCGUUUGUUCGGAUUCACUGGGCGUAAAGGGUGCGUAGGUGGUUGGGGUAAGUUUGAUGUGAAAUCUCCGGGCUUAACCCGGAAACUGCAUUGAAUACUAUCUGGCUAGAAGGGUUGGAGGGGGGACUGGAAAUACUU